UGCCAGCCGCCGCGGUACUCCUGAUGGUGCAAGCGUUAUCCGGAAUCACUUGGUUUAAAGGGUACGUAGGCGGCUAAAUAAGUCAGAGGUGAAAGCCCGGCGCUCAACGUCGGAAUUGCCUUUGAUACUGUUUAACUUGAAUUAGGUUGAGGUGGGCGGAAUGUGGCAUGUAGCGGUGAAAUGCAUAGAUAUGCCAUAGAACACCAAUUGCGAAGGCAGCUCACUGGCCCUAAAUUGACGCUGAGGUACGAAAGCGUGGGGAGCGAACAGGAUUAGAUA
rnacentral:rRNA from 1 species